CUGACUGAGCCGCCCAGGCACCCCAAGGACGGUUUUCUUUAAAAUGAUGGUGGGAUCUCAUAUGGCCAUGUUCAAGAUCAGUGACGUUUUCAGAAAAGAGUAAGAAUUGAUGCAACUGCAGUGGGAAGCCUGGAGCAAAGCCUGAGGGUCAAGUUUGACAGAGCUCAGGACUGCUCUGGAUGCAUGACAGACCUUGGCUUCACCAGACCCCAAGCAUGACCUCAUUUUCUCAUAAAUAGAGAAAUGCCUCUUUAGCAAGGAGCUUACAAUCUUCUAUGUAAAAUAAAAAUUGUCCCUCUUGGAUAUAUUCCUGCUGGAGUCCUGAAAAGCUGGAAUUCGUUUCGAACACCAUAUAUAUCUAAGUUGUUUGAAGAUAUUGUUUCAAAGAGAUGCCUCAGGAACCACUUAAGAAGAAUACUCAGCUUCAGGUCCAGCACGCUUGGCUUUAAAUGCUUGACAACCUCGUUUUUGCCCUGCCCCAAAUUUCUCACUCCAUUCUCACCAUUUUCUAGAAUACUGACCUCUCCAACUUUCCUCUUUUAUGCCUUCCCAUCAGCAUAGUUUUAUUUACUAUUGCUUGCAUUUUUCCUACAUGUCUUUAGUAAUUUGACGAAGGCCUUUUGGGAAUGCCUCCAGCUCCAUGGUCCUUGUGCUUUAUGGAGCCUCUGCUCACCACCCCACCUUUCUGGCCUCUUGGGCAGAGCCCAGACAUAACGUGGGGGUCCCUGAAGAGGCUAUGUAUGAACGAUAAAAAAUGACUAACCCCAAUUAACUAGACAACUUAAAAUUAACUUUCAUUUGACCUCUACUUCAUCUGUAUCGGUGUCUUUCAGUUGUCUGUAUCUAUAAAGUCCGGGUACAUUUCUUCAGUAUUCCACUGGCUGGAAAGACGGAGGGAGGGCAGACAGUGUAUGUAAACAGCUCAGCAGCUGCUGGAAAAUCUUGAUGGGCAUGCUGUCAGUCUCCUUUGCUAUUUCCCCCUAGCUCUGAUUGUGGCUCUGAAUUCUUUAAAGACUAAAGAGAGAUUCUUGUGUUUGACAACUAAACUAACAGCUCGACGAGGGGAAAAAGACUGCUGAAAUCUGUCAAUGAAUGUUGCUAACAUAUGUUGCAUUUAUGGACAGGGAGAACACUAGACCUAGCAAGUCUUUGGAAAGAUGUGUGAGCUGGCUGACAGCUGUGACAUCUCAGCACAACAAGUUAAAGUAACACUGAGCAGUGGGUUGUGUCCAGUGAGACUUGGUUGGCCACAGAUGACAAUUCUUCUCCCUGAGUUAUUUCUCUAGUGUCGAUGAUUAAUAUCAAAUGUCGGAUCCGUUCUGUAACGUUGGCACACACCAAGAAAAAGCACAGUCCAGAAGCUAUGCGUUUCUUUUUUCUGGACCACUCAUCUUUUUGGUGUGCUGGCACAAUUGUUUGCAAGCUCUCAUCAUCAUGGGGAAGUCAUCUAUUAAGAACCAUCUGCUGAAGAGAAUUCCAGUCCCUAAUAUUACAUCGCUGCUGGAGCUGUCCAUGUUCUUCCCCACUGCCCACCACUACCUUUCUCACAUUGCUUCUUUGUGUCUGUGCAUGGAGAACAGACAAGUGUACGGGAUUUGUUUUACUUAAGACUUAGCGUGGUGGAGCUAAAAGUAUAGUUCACUGCCUCUCAAACGUCAACGUGCAGAGGAGUCACCUGAGACUCUUAUUAAAAUGCAGAUUUGGGGGCGCCUGGGUGGCGCAGUCGGUUAAGCGUCCGACUUCAGCCAGGUCAC